AGCGUAGACGGACUGGCAAGUCUGAUGUGAAAGGCGGGGGGCUCAACCCCUGGACUGCAUUGGAAACUGUUAGUCUUGAGUGCCGGAGAGGUAAGCGGAAUUCCUAGUGUAGCGGUGAAAUGCGUAGAUAUUAGGAGGAACACCAGUGGCGAAGGCGGCUUACUGGACGGUAACUGACGUUGAGGCUCGAAAGCGUGGGGAGCAAACA
rnacentral:rRNA from 1 species